rnacentral:rRNA from 1 species
GUCCACGCCGUAAACGAUGAUAACUAGGUGUUGGGAGAUUUGACCCUUUCAGCGCCGCAGCUAACGCAUUAAGUUAUCCGCCUGGGGAGUACGGUCGCAAGACUAAAACUCAAAGGAAUUGACGGGGGCCCGCACAAGCGGUGGAGUAUGUGGUUCAAUUCGACGCAACGCGAAGAACCUUACCUGGGUUAGAAAUCAACUAGAAGCCCUGUAGAGAUAUGGGGCGUCCCCGCAAGGGGACUGGUUGACAGGUGCUGCAUGGCUGUCGU